GUUCAGAGAUUUGGGAUGGAUCCCAGGAAAGGCCCAGGAAUUUGGGAUGGAUCCCAGGAAAGGUUCAGGAAUUUGGGAUGGAUCCCAGGAAAGGUUCAGGAAUUUGGGAUGGAUCCCAGGAAAGGUUCUGCCCCCAAGGGUGGUGGGCACUGCCCGGGCUCCCCUGGGAAUGGGCACAUCCCCAACCCUGCCAGAGCUCCAGGAGCCUUUGGAAAACCCUCUGGAGUUGCUGUGGAACUUUGGAUCCUGCUGGAUUGCUGAACAGAAUUGGAAUCAACAAAAAGCCACGAACAAGCCCAGAACUGCACCAGACAGGAGGCCUCCCCCCAGUGACUCAGCCCCAGGAGGUGAAAUCAUCCAGGAAUUCAUCCAGAGGGAAACCGAGCUGCCCAAAACCACAUCUCAUCUUUGGGAGGAUGAAACGAGCCAGGCCCUCUGGGUUGGUGCUGUGGGUGCAGUGCACUGCUUUCCAUCCGUGGCUGGAGUGUGUGAGGAGAACAUCCCAAAUGAGAAUUUCAGGUUAAAAAGCACUUCUGGUUCUUCCUUGGAGCACCCAGGGGAAGGAGGAUCUCAUCCAGAGUGGUUUUGUUCACUGAAAGGAGGAGAAAAGCAGCUUUGUGUGUCCAGAGGAGCCAUCCCCACCUUCAGGAAAAACCCUGCUUUGCCAGAAUUCUCCUUGAAGUGAAGAAAUGGGCAGGGAAUUCUCCACCUGCAGUGUUUGAGAGGGGUUUUACCUGAUCAUGGAAUCAGGGAACCCUGGAAUGAUUUGGAGGGAGCUGAAAUCCCCCCCAGGGCCACCCUGCCGUGGCAGGGACACCUCCACUGUCCCAGCUGGCCUUGGGCACUUCCAGGGGUCCAUCCCAAGGCCAUGCCAGCUGGUUCUGCCUCUGAAAUCAGGAAUUUCCAAAGAAUUUCGGCCAGAAUUUGUUCCUUCAUUUCUUUCCCCCCUCCUUUGCUCCUCACCAGCCCAAAUCCCAAAUUCCGAGGGUCAAAGUCCCACCUGAGCCCCAGCAGCCACCCCUGUGUCCUGCACUCUCCGUGGGGACAUUCCAGGCUGGAAUGCUGCUGGGAUGAGCGUUUCCCUGCUGAGGGAACCCUCCCAAAAUUUCAGCAGCUCCCGGGAGGCGUCGAUUGUCCAGCGGCGCCGCGUCGAGACGGAGACAAGGCCCGGAGAACUUCCCUGUGCUGGAAAUCUCCUUCCAAACCCCGACCCUCUGGGGUGUGUGCCCUCGGGAGAAGGUCCUUUGGGAUCCCUUCAGAGUGCCUCACACACCUGGAUGGGAUAAACCAGGAAAAAAACGUGGAAAAACCAUGGCAAAACCGCGGGAUUUCCUGCUGGGAAUGAGUUGCAGAGUGAGGGUGGAAGCUGGCAGUGCUGCCCAGGCUGUGGGCACCUGGAAUCUUCAGGAGGAGACUCACACUGGCUGGAAAAAGGAGGGGAAAGCUCUUCCCAUUGCCUGUGGUCGUUAUUCCCGGGGGUGGCAGCUUUUGGGGUGUCCUGGAGGAACUGGGGGUGCAGCUCAAAGCAAGAGGGCUCCGCGCUGGCCAGCAGCGACUGAAGGGUUUGUACUUGAAACCAAAAAUAAAUUCUCUUUCUGGGCUGGAGAUUCAUGGACUGGAGGAUGCUCUUGACUUACUCCAAGGAUACACAGAAAGUGAUUCCCAAAAGGUUGAAGGACUUUGCAUCCUGGAGGCAGAGGAGGCAGGCUCCAGGGUUUACAGGACUUGGAAGAAGGUGGUGGCAAGCUCUUGUCCCCAGAGGUCGCUGAGGUGGGUGACUGCCAGGCUGCUCCUUCUGCUCCAUUCCUCGUGCUGCUCCCACUCACGACAUGCUGGGCAGAGAAAAGAGACAGGAGGGAUUGUCAGGCAGCAAACUGAGGUAAAAAAUGUGAUUGUUGCCACCACACCAACCAAAAAAAAAAAAUAAAUGAGUGGAUUUGGGUGAAAUGGUUCACAGAAGUGUGGUGGGGACACUGGUGGUGGCAGUCAUGGCUCUCGUGGGCAGAGGGGACAAUGUGACACCAGGCUGGGGGAUCCUGGGCCUAAGCCAGGCUUGGCUUUCCUGGCCAUGGAUCACAAAUGGCACAGGAUGUGUCCCAGCCACACAAAGAGCUCAAACCUGGUCUCCUGAUCCUCUGCUGGGGCCAUGGGCCUGCUGCAAAGAGAUAAUAAAAAUAAAUAAACCUCCAGCACAUAAAAAAUGAUAAAUCUCCAGCACAAACCAAUCUCUGCCCUGAGCUCCUGGACGUUUCUUGGGAUAUUUCAGCCUCAUCCAGGGGAUCUUUCCCUGUUCCCCUCAGGAAUCAGAAUAAGCAGAGAGGCUGUAUCCCUCUGAUCGGGCCACGUUAUCCUGCUGAAGGAUUUUAUCUUCCAAACCCCUCCAGAAUUUCUCUUCCCCACAGUUCCAGCCUUUAUCAGCUCCUGAACUCUCUGGGAUUGUCCUGGUGGAUCCCAGGGGUGCUCCCAAGCUGUGGGGCUGCUCUUAUCCCCAAAGGCUCUUCAAGGGAAGGGUAAAUCAGAGGAAAGGGUAAAUCAGAGGGAAGGGUAAAUCAGAGGGAAGGGUAAAUCAGAGGGAAAGAUAAACCAGAGGGAAAGAUAAACCAGAGGAAAGGAUAAAUCAGAGGAAAGGGUAAACCAG